AGCUAAUAGAUACCCGGGUAGUCCCAGCAGUAAACGGUGCGCGUUUGGUGUGAGCAGAUUCGACUCUGUUCGCGCCGGAGCUAACGCGUUAAACGCGCCGCCUGGGAAGUACGAUCGCAAGAUUAAAACUCAAAGAAAUUGACGGGGGCCCGCACAAGCGGUGGAGUAUGUGGCUUAAUUCGAUGCAACGCGAAGAACCUUACCUGGGUUUGACAUGCAUCUCUAAGGAGGUGAAAGCUUCCGAGGGUAGCAAUACCCGAUUUGCACAGGUGCUGCAUGGCUGUCGUCAGCUCGUGUCGUGAGAUGUUGGGUUAAGUCCCGCAACGAGCGCAACCCUUGUAUGCUGUUGCUAUGCUUACGCAUAGCUCUCUGCGUAGACUGCCCCGUGAAACGGGGAGGAAGGUGGGGAUGACGUCAAGUCAGCAUGGCCCUUACACCCAGGGCUGCACACGUACUACAAUGCUCAGUACAAUUAGAACCUGCCCCGCGAGGGUUGGGAAAUCAGCGAAAACUGAG
rnacentral:rRNA from 1 species